rnacentral:rRNA from 1 species
AUUGAACGCUGGCGGCAUGCCUUACACAUGCAAGUCGAACGGCAGCACGGGAGCAAUCCUGGUGGCGAGUGGCGAACGGGUGAGUAAUAUAUCGGAACGUGCCAGUCGUGGGGAUAACGUAGCGAAAGCUACGCUAAUACCGCAUACGAUCUAUGGAUGAAAGCGGGGGAUCGCAAGACCUCGCGCGAUUGGAGCGGCCGAUAUCAGAUUAGGUAGUUGGUGAGGUAAAGGCUCACCAAGCCGACGAUCUGUAGCUGGUCUGAGAGGACGACCAGCCACACUGGGACUGAGACACGGCCCAGACUCCUACGGAGGCAGCAGUGGGGAAUUUUGGACAAUGGGCGCAAGCCUGAUCCAGCAAUGCCGCGUGCAGGAUGAAGGCCUUC